ensembl:lncRNA
CACGCUCCCCCCUAUGCUCAGCUGCGGGCCUCAAACCACUGCGUUUCUGUCUGGCCGAAGUGUGUGCUGAUGCUGCUCAGCACCAUGCCACUGCCUCGUGGGAGUGAGCAUGUCCCAGGGAUGGACUGCUGUCUGCACACCACUUUGGUUUAAUUCUCCCAUUUCCUAACUGAUACACAAAAUCAUUUCUUAAAUAACGUCAUUUUUACAUUUAGAAGAGUUAAGAUACUGAUUUUUCUGCUCAGUCCAUUGGCUGUGGAAUCACUGAGUGAUGCAAGGCAGCUGUUCCUGCACUUUUAAAGUGCUAUUGCUGAGAACUGUGUACAUACAAAGGCAUAAAUAAACCUGCACUAGGAAGAAAGAACGUGGCAGAAACAGUAGAGAUCCUGGGCUGUGUGUUCAAGGCAAAGACAAGGACUUUCUGAAGAUAUGACAGAGCACCAUGGCUCUCCUCUCCACCAACGAAGGACUCAACAAUCCAAUGCGGUCAAUUCCCUCGGGAAAGAGAGGCUGAAAAAAAUCAAUAUGCCAUCGCAAAGGAAGCAGAGGUGUUCUUGUCUCGUCUAACAGAGGAAGGAGAACCAUCUGAGAAAUGGGAGCCUAUCUUGUCCUGCUGAAACAAAAGAGUUGAUGUAUCUUUCUGCAUGUGGAAGGUGCUCAUCAGAAGCACUGGAACCACUUGGAGCAGAUGACAAGUUUUGAAGAAGCCUUUAAGUUUCUGAAGAUCCACAGCCACAAGUGAAUGCCAGCACUGAGAUGGAGAAACCAGCCUGGCCAAGAGCCCUCCGCCCCAGGCCAUUACAGGAAGCUGUCGGCUUGCAGAAGGACCUGGGAAAUGAUGGUAGUGAUGACAGGAAAGAGAAGAGCUCCUGGUUAUUCUGUGCUCUCUAGUCAUCCACCCCGCCAUGGCCAUGGCCCUGCUCUCAGCUGAGCCCCGCUCUCCAAACUGAGCAAAGCGCUUCUGCAGAGCUGAGUCGCAGCAGAAGCCACAGCACUGUUCAGGAGGAGGUAAGAAACCAGGAUGCAUAGGCUUCCUCCAGAGGGCAGGGCUUUCUUUCCCUAGAUCUAUUUUGCCUUUGAAGCUGCAGUGCUCUCUCCGUGUUUUUGGAGGAGAUGGAAUAGAUUUAAAAAGUGGCUGCUUAUCGAUUUAUGGUCUUUAUGCUGGACAUGGCUUUUUAUUAAGGAAAGCAGAUACUCAAUACUGUUAACUAGUAAUGGGAAUUGACUUUUCACUAAUUGCACAGAACCUGGCAUUAAUACACUUUAAUAGAAAAUGGGUCUGUGCGCUCUGGAUCAAUCCUGAAGUUUUUUCUGCCUGCACUACGGACAAAGGACUCCAGCAACAGCAACGUAGUUAAAUGAGAUGCUUCAUUUUUUUAUUUAUCUACCAUCCAUCCAAUUACUGAGAUAAGCACAUAUCUCCAGGGGAUGAGGGAAGGCUGUAGCUUGGCUGCUCAUCCUGUCUGUCCUGCAGGGACCAUCCCUUCCCGUGUGGCUGUGAUGCAGUACACCACCCGGCUCCCAGGGCUGGUCCUGCACCAGGCAGAUUGCCACUGGCCUUAAGAGCCUGAGCACAUGGCUUGGAGCAGCCUCACCCUGUUGCCAUCCCUCAGGCUGUGAUCAGCUCUCCUGUUGGCCAUAUUAGCCUCCUCUGUGGCCAGCAGGAUAACAGCAGGCCCUGUGGUGUUGUAGGCGCCAGCAAUGACACUGGGACUGACAAAGGGCAGUGCUAAUUAAAGCUUCAUGCUAGUUAAUGAUGGAUACUUAUGUCGUGUGAAAAUCAUUUUUAGCUCCCCGCAGUUGGCUCAGCUUGACUCUUGCUGCUGCCUGCCUCUGUCAGGAAAACCCUGCUGUUGGCUGGGCCCAGCAGCACCACAUUUCUUUCCCUCUGAAUCAACUCUGCGAAAGGAAAGCCAAAGUUUUGCAAACCUCUCUCUCAUCACAACACCACUGUGGUUGGUUCUGAUGGCUACAUCUGGUUGUAGGGAGCCACCUGUAUUUGUCCUCCAUCAUGAAGCGUAGCUUAAUGUACGUGUAGCCACUCUACUAGCAGUGCCAAACAGUUGCUUCUGAUACCUGUUGAUGUACAGAGUAAGCUGCCCCACAGGAAUAUUUUAUUCAGUAAGACAGGACUCAAAGAUGAAAGGGCAACCACUUCUGAUGAUAACCUUGGCUUUGUCUUUCUAGUAAUUAUACUUUAAUUGCAUUGCCCGCUUUGAAAUAGAAUGGUAAUUGAAAAAAAAAAAAAACAAUUUGCCAUUCUCUGAUGCGUACUCUUGACAUGCUUUAUUUGUUUUUUAUUCAAACAUAAAUAUUCUCUGUAACACUAUCAAAAAAAGAGAAAAAUAUAGCAAAAUUGAAAUGUCAGUAUCAAUUUCUUACACGUGAAAAGCAUCAUCAACUUGUGCUGGUUGGUGGGCAAGGAAGGGGUUUCAGUUCAACUCAACAGAAAUCCAGUUGUGACAUGAGCAGAGUUGGAGAAGAGGAAGGAUGUAAGAGGGAAAGGACCUCAGCCCCAGCCCUUCAGGAGAGCUGGCUGUUGCACAUGGCAGUUACAAAAUAUCGUAUCUGCAACCAGCUGUAAUUGUGUGAUAAAUGGGCCUUUCAGAUCACAUGGAAACAGAAGAUGCAGAAAGAUAAUUUCAAAUCUUACUGCUCACCAUCAAAUAAUUGCUAGGGUCAAUAUAAGUCAAUGAAACACAGGUUUCCUUCAGUUGUACUCUGUAGAGCACAGCUAUAGAAAAGCGUCUUUGCGUCUUCCUUCUUAACUGCUCUCAGGAGGAUCUAAGAGAAUCUACUCUGGUGGCAGCUUAUACCUCAUAAUUUGCAUCUGAUGUUUCUGAGAGCUGAGCUCCAGCCAGCCUGGUGGUCACACUGCAUGCAAGGAGAGCUGGGGCUCAGUGCAUGGCUCCAUGCCGGGAGAGGUACCUGGCGGCACCCAGCAUGCUGCAGUUCACACACACACAGAGUAGGAGAAGCUGCUGACAUCUUCUGCAGCAAUUCUUUUGAUGGAUUUCCUUUGUCAGCAGCCCUGCAUUCUCAUUUGCUCCAAAAAAGAUCCAGCCCAGUGUUAGUUCAGAGAGUCAGCAGUUCACAGGCAAGAAAUUAACACAGGGAGUCAUAAACCAGAGGUGGCUGGCAUAGAUGAGGCUGGAUAAAUUAUACCUGUUUUACUUUAAUUUUUUUAUAAAAGCAAAACCAGAACUGAAACACAACAGUCGGAACAAAACCUCCCUUGGUGAAAAAUGGAUUUUUGGGGUUGCCUGCAGACAUAACCAACUUUUGUUAGUAUUAAUUAAUUCCACUGUGCUUUGUACCCAGCUAGUUUGUUAUGACCAGAACAACUUGCUAUUGCCAGAGAAAUAUACAGACACACAGGCUGACAGAACAGCGUAGUGAGAGCUGGGAGUCCCUUGGUGAAGGUCUGAGCACCUUGUACAACUUAGGAGCCUGACUUGAUGUGUGGAACACCACAUAAGUGCAUUUAACUGACUGAUAACUCUAAUGUUCUCUUCUGUAGAGACUGAGCUCUCUGAAACUCCCCGGAAGUGGCACAAAGGUAAUAACUGAGAACUAAACUGAAAUAUCAUCAUUGAUUAAUAAGGUAACCAUUACAAAGAGCUGGGUGUCAGGAGAAGGGUUAAAGCAGCACUGAAGUCAGCUGGUAGGAUGCAGCCCCGGUGAUGGGAAACUCCCAGGAGAGUCAUCUGCCAGAGCCAUUAGAUGUUAUAAAACAUAAGGAAAAGUGCAACUUGGAGCUUUGCUUGCGCUGAUGUUAUUUUGUGGGGAGAAAAUUCAUUCUCUUGAAUAUGUCUGGACUCUCAGGUCCACAGUAAUAAUGUGCUAGAACAAAAAAAUACUUAAUUUAGGAAAUUUGUUACAUUAUCAAAGACCUGUAAAACCUGAUUUUCUACCUUUAAGCACAGUAGCUGCGUUACUCAAAUUGCUAUGUAGAGCCCUUAUAUAUAUACACCAAAUUAUGAUGCUUAUUUCUUCUCUAUGUGGGCUGGACUCCGGAGAACAUGUUUUGAUCCUUUGUAGUGAAUACUAAAUUGUAAAAGUAACUGUAGAGUUGUGUUGUUCUCCACUUAACAAACUAAUAGUAAGCAACAUAUAUAGGGCAGGGGGAGAAGCUUUUAUAAAGACCAAAAAGAAAACAUAUUUAAAAGUAAGUGCUAAUCUUGUACUUCAGUCUGCUGUAUCUCAGCCUCACGGUCAUGGUGGUGCCUGACAUGCCUUGGACCUAAGCCUUGAAUCUGUCUGGGAAUCUUUGCCCCAACCUCAGCCGCUGCAGCUCUCAAGCGCACCAGAAGCUGAUGGUCAGGUUUGCAGUGAGCUGAUGCCCUCUGCUGGAUACGAGGAGCUUCUGACUGAAAAGCUGCUCUUCUAGAGCAGGACCCCUACCAGGAGUGAACUGGGCAGCUCACAACAGACGGGUGUUACACAAAAUCUGCUCAAUGAAAUAGCAAGGUCAGAGAGCACUUUUCUGUUCUUAGUUUGCAGCAUUCAUUUUCCCUUCACAGCCUUUCCCAAAGAUAUAUGUCUCUUAGUGGCAUGGGUACUGAAAAUGUUAUUACAGCAUAAUCUCUGAGCUAGUUACCUAAGUAUACUCUACGCACUGCUUGUCUGAGUCUUUAACAGGAAGCAUCCUAGGGCAUGUCUCUCUUAGGGGAAAAAAAAGAGCACUUUCCAUUUCAGGUAUGGCUUCAAGGACCUGUAGUAAUUUUCACUAAAUCCGCAGGAGAACUCACUGACUUUAUAGAAGAUGCUCACUUUUUGAUCAUGUUCUAAAUUGGAUGUGAAUUUUGCUCUGUGUGAAAGAUUGAUGCUGGAUUGAUGAGCUGAGGCCAACUGACCUUGAACAAGACCAGGUGCUGGGUCCUGCAUUUUGGCUACAACAACCCCAGGCAACACUACAGGCUUGGGGCAUUGUCUGGAAUGCUGCAUGGAGGAAAAGGACCUGGGGAUGUUGGUUGACACUGGGCUGAUCAUGAGCCAGCAGUGUGCCCAGGUGGCUAAGAAGGCCGAUGGCAUCCUGGCUUGUAUCAGAAAUGCUGCAGGCAGCCAGCAGGAGCAGGGAAGUGAUCACCUCUCUGUACUCAGCUCUGGUGAGGCCAUACCUCCAGUAUUGUGUUCAGUGUUGGACCCCUCACGACAAGAAAGACAUUGAGGCCCUGGAGUGUGUUCAGAGAAGGGCAGUGGAAGGGUCUGGAGCACAAGUGUUAUGAGGAGCGGCUGAGGGAACUGGGAUUGUUCAGUCUGGAGGAGGCUCAGCAGAGAUCUUAUGGCUCUGUACAACUCUCUGAAAGGAGGUUGUGGUGAGGCAGAGGUCAGCCUCUUCUCCCAAAUAUCAGCAAUCAGAUGAGAGGGAAUGGCCUUAAGUUGUGCAAGGGGAGGUUCAGGUUGGAUAUUAGGAAGAAUUUCUUCUCUGAGAGAGUGGUGAGGCACUGGCACAGACUGCCAGGUAGGUGGUGGAGUCACCGUCUGUAAGAGAUUAUUCUUUUAUAUCAUUUGACUCAAAGUUUGCUGAGGAACAAGUCCAGGCAAGUCCUGGGCAAAGGCAGAGAAAUCUUUUGUCCUUUGAUGGACAGGUCCUGGCUAAGGAUUGUGAAAUCCUCUAAGGAGCACAGAUGGACAAGGCCAGGGGCAACGAGAGAGAAGAUAAGCUGCUGCUAAUGGCUGGGAAACGGUCUUUUGUGUGGACUUAUCUUGAGGAAGAUGGCCAUCUCAGGAGGUAUGCCCAGGACUCUUGCUCAAGCACCCAGGAAUGUCAUGUAGGCAGGAGAAAAUGGAGGAUAAAAGAGGGUCCAACAACCACGGCGAGGUAGAGGCUUAUCUCUCACCACGACAGACUUGAGGGGUUCUCUGCCAUCUGAUCCUUCACCACAACGUGGAGACUGAUCUCUCACCACGACACGAGCUUCCUGCCUUCAGAUUCUUCUCUACAGACCGUUUGCUGACGGACUUCCCUGGGCCUGCUACCUGAGACCUGCUGCUUCCUCCCUGACCUGCACCCUCUCGUUGCCCAAGACCGGCCCCGCUGCUCCUGCCCUUCGGCCUCAGACCGUCGGAACAUCGUGUAACGGGACUGCUGCUGGAUCCUGGUGGUGACUAUCCCUGCUUUACGCAAUUCUUGCCUCUUUCUAUCUUUUCUAUCGCUCGCCUUCCCUUCCCCAUCACCCCAAUCCUUAAUAGUGUCCGUCCUCCCCUUUCCCCAUCUCCCUUAUUAACAUUUGUAAUAAACUGGUCGGACCAACAUUUGAACCGUUGUUUCUUAAUCUCACGCUGGGCAUACAUAUUUCAAAGAACCUCCUCUCCCUCCUAUAAAUUGGAGCGAGACACCGUCCCUCAUGUGGCACUGGUUAGUGGGCAUGAUAAGGAUGGUUUGACAGUUGGACUUGGUGAUUUUCGUGGUCUCUUCCAACCGUAAUGUUUUUAUGAUUCUAUGAAACCGAAACAGUAUUUAACACUGUACUUAAGAGAUCACAAAUCUGGAUCCCCUGUGUAAUAAAAUUAGUCCAUGUGAGAUGUGUUAUUCUUAAAACACAUCUUGUUGCCACAAACUUCCGUUUUUUUGAAUAGGUAAAGUUUGUCUAGGCAUUAAAACUUCUGCCUUGUGAUAUUUGCAAUAAAUUAACAGUAACUAGGGCAUUAUUGGCCUCUCUCUUAAAUGCAUA